GGAGAAUCUAAGACUUCUGAAGAGUUUCUUGCUUCUUUCCUGUGGGGCAGUGACUCCACUUCCCAGCAGUAAUGGAAUAUCCUGAAUUAGCUACAUUAAUGUUAGAACCAUUUGGACCUCACCCAGGACUUCAACUACAUUAUGAGUAACUCCUGGACGAUUGGCACAGAAGGCACAAGGCAAAUACCUAUCUCUGUACACCCUGUGCUACUGUGUCAUGUGCUGCUCCAGGCAACUCCAAUGGAUUGGCCACCCUGGCCAAUGUGUGAGUUAUAAAGCAAUGAUGUGUAGCUAUUGAACCUACAAUUUGGUUAAAGUUAAACUCUCAAGUUUUAUAUGUUUACAAGCAUAUUGUCCUUUUGUUAAUUUCCUCCCCGUACUCAUUUCUUGACUUCUUUUAGUUUUACUAUGUAGUAAUUUUUAAAAUGUUAGUCAAAGUUAGUUAAUUUAAUUCACUUAGCAGAUUUUCCUGUAAUUUUGGUUAAACAGUAUCCUUUCUGUACAGGCCCUCCAAACACCAGCACUGAGUAGAAAGAGGCUCUGAUUCAUGAAAUGUGAAUUUAUGACAGUUGCCACUCUUAAAAAAAAAACAAACAGACAGAACU
rnacentral:sRNA from 1 species